AUUGAACGCUGGCGGCAGGCUUAACACAUGCAAGUCGAGCGGAGAUGAGGUGCUUGCACCUUAUCUUAGCGGCGGACGGGUGAGUAAUGCUUAGGAAUCUGCCUAUUAGUGGGGGACAACAUUCCGAAAGGAAUGCUAAUACCGCAUACGUCCUACGGGAGAAAGCAGGGGAUAUUCGGACCUUGCGCUAAUAGAUGAGCUUAAGUCGGAUUAGCUAGUUGGUGGGGUAAAGGCCUACCAAGGCGACGAUCUGUAGCGGGUCUGAGAGGAUGAUCCGCCACACUGGGACUGAGACACGGCCCAGACUCCUACGGGAGGCAGCAGUGGGGAAUAUUGGACAAUGGGGGAAACCCUGAUCCAGCCAUGCCGCGUGUGUGAAGAAGGCCUUAUGGUUGUAAAGCACUUUAAGCGAGGAGGAGGCUACUGAGACUAAUACUCUUGGAUAGUGGACGUUACUCGCAGAAUAAGCACCGGCUAACUCUGUGCCAGCAGCCGCCGUAA
rnacentral:rRNA from 1 species